ACCAUAAAACAGCAACAGCGACCCACUGCAGAUUCUCCUCCAAACAGGAAUAUGGCAAAGGCGUGGUUCUGAUCCAGGAAGGGGAAGGAUCCCCAAGUUGUGAAGGCUGAAGAUCAAAUUGCCAAGUGGAAUCCCAUCCAUCACGGGGACCAACACCAGCCAUCUGCUCCCCACCACCACCUUCAAAGAGCACAUGGAAGCUGGGCAGCUGGCUGGCAGCUGGAAGGAGGGCAAGAUGGCCUGGCCAG
rnacentral:lncRNA from 1 species